rnacentral:rRNA from 1 species
UCAAGCUACAAAGGGCGCAUGGUGAAUGCCUUGGCAUCAGGAGCCGAUGAAGGACGUGAUAAGCUGCGAUAAGCUUCGGGUAGGCGCACAUAGCCAGUGAUCCGGAGAUUUCCGAAUGUGGGAACACACAUGGGAAACCCCAUGUAUCGUAUAGUGAAUACAUAGCUAUACGAGGGUAAACCUAGGGAACUGAAACAUCUAAGUACCUAGAGGAAGAGAAAGAAAAAUCGAUUUCCUAAGUAGCGGCGAGCGAAAGGGAAAGAGCCCAAACCAAAGAUUUAUCUUUGGGGUUGCGGACAGAGCAUUAACGAGAAGUCGUAACUAACCGAACACAACUGGAAAGUUGGACCGUAGGAGGUAAUAGUCCUGUAGGUGAAAGUUAAGAUAAUCAAGCUCUGAUCCAGAGUACCACGAGACACGUGAAACCUUGUGGGAAGCAGGGAGGACCACCUCCCAAGGCUAAAUACUACCUGAUGACCGAUAGUGAAGCAGUACCGUGAGGGAAAGGUGAAAAGAACCCCGGGAGGGGAGUGAAAUAGAACCUGAAACCGUGUGCCUACAACCGGUCAAAGCCCCAUAUGAGGGUGAUGACGUGCUUUUUGUAGAACGAGCCAACGAGUUACGGUAUGUAGCAAGGUUAAGUACUUAAGGUACGGAGCCGAAGGGAAACCGAGUCUUAAUAGGGCGACUAGUUGCAUGCCGUAGACCCGAAACCGGGUGACCUAUCCAUGGCCAGGUUGAAGCGAGGGUAAAACUUCGUGGAGGACCGAACCACGUUGCUGUUGAAAAAGCAUGGGAUGAGCUGUGGAUAGCGGAGAAAUUCCAAUCGAACUCGGAGAUAGCUGGUUCUCCCCGAAAUAGCUUUAGGGCUAGCGUCGGAUAUGUGUAGUGGAGGUAGAGCACUGAAUGGGCUAGGGGGCAUAUCGCUUACCGAACCUUAUCAAACUCCGAAUGCCAUAUACAUUUAGUCCGGCAGUCAGACUACGAAUGAUAAGAUCCGUGGUCAAAAGGGAAACAGCCCAGAUCGUCAGCUAAGGUCCCAAAGUGUAAGUUAAGUGGAAAAGGAUGUGGGAUUUCUAAGACAACUAGGAUGUUGGCUUAGAAGCAGCCACUCAUUUAAAGAGUGCGUAAUAGCUCACUAGUCGAGAGAUCCUGCGCCGAAAAUGUCCGGGGCUCAAACUUACCACCGAAGCUACGGGCUUGCGUAAGCAAGCGGUAGGGGAGCGUCGUAAUCGGGCUGAAGUCGUACCGUAAGGAGCGGUGGACUGAUUACGAGUGAGAAUGUUGGCAUUAGUAGCGAGAUGUAGGUGAGAAUCCUACAGGCCGAAUAUCUAAGGUUUCCUCAGGAAGGCUCGUCCGCUGAGGGUUAGUCGGGACCUAAGCCGAGGCCGAAAGGCGUAGGCGAUGGACAAUCGGUUGAUAUUCCGAUACCACUACCAUCGUUAUUAUCGAGGGUGUGACGGAGAAGGAUAGUGUGUGCUAGCGAUUGGAAAUGCUAGUCUAAGCGUUUAGGGAGUUACGGUAGGCAAAUCCGCUGUAACAAUUCUGAGGCGUGAUGGGGAAGGCCAUAUAGGCCGAAGUACAUGAUUCCAUGCUUCCAAGAAAAGCAUCUAGAGAGAGAAGUAGUGCCCGUACCGCAAACCGACACAGGUAGAUGAGGAGAGAAUCCUAAGGCCGGCGGAAGAAUUGCAGUUAAGGAACUAGGCAAAUUGACCCCGUAAGUUCGCGAGAAGGGGUGCCUGCGAGAGCAGGCCGCAGAGAAUAGGCCCAAGCAACUGUUUAGCAAAAACACAGGUCUCUGCUAAAGCGUAAGCUGAUGUAUAGGGGCUGACGCCUGCCCGGUGCUGGAAGGUUAAGGGGAACACUUAGCGCAAGCGAAGGUGUGAACUUAAGCCCCAGUAAACGGCGGCCGUAACUAUAACGGUCCUAAGGUAGCGAAAUUCCUUGUCAGGUAAGUUCUGACCCGC